AUUAUUCUACUCACCUCUGGCUAGCUCUGACACUGACUGAAGCAGCUGACUCACUGCUGAGGUCCUCAGUUCCUCGGGUCUGAACCUACACAGGUGGACUCAAAUGAGGGACCAACAUACUAUAACAUGACUCUGAAAACAUCCCCCAAAAACCCUCUAAAACACCUCAAAACAUCCAUGCAAGAACAUGCAAAGGAAGGCUGGACAGGGCACUUUCGGCGGCAGGUUCGGCGGCCGAAAGUCCCUCCAGAGCCGAAAGUCAGGCAGGUUCGGCGGCACCUUCGGCGGCCGAAACUCCCAGACAGAGGCGAAACUCAUGCAUGUUCAGCGGCACUUUCAGCGGCCGAGACUCCCAGACAGAG
rnacentral:lncRNA from 1 species